GUCUUCAAGUACCCAGCCCGUUACCGUGAAACACUGAGACCCUUCAUCCGCACUGUUUUGGAAUUUAGGGUUCAUCACAAUCUUGGAUCUCCGCCAUCAGAGAAUCUGAGAUGCAGAGGUCGUCGUUACGAUUCCGUUUGUUAGGGUUUCGAUCACUUCUUUUCGCCUUCAGUAUAAAAAGAAUUUAACUGUUUAUGUAUCUGACCGGAGCAUUCAGAGCUAGAUACGGCAGUGUUGGGCCGUUCCACGAAACAACAGGUCUUGAGUCGCUUCAUCUCGGCGGAGGCAUUUUCGGCAACUAACUAUGCUAACUCCCGAGAAAUCCGGUGGUUUUACAUCGUUUCUUGAUCUUCCACCUACACAAGCAGUGAGCUUCUCCAUUUCUCUGAUUCAUCAUCAUCGUUUCUUCAAGCACUGGCCGGUAAAGGAAUCCGUUUAAAUAUCUCCCCACCGCCGCUUCUGGACAUUGGCUUUUCCUUCUAACUCAGCCAUCUUGGAGCGAGCAGCUAGCUUCUCGGUACUACGUACGCGCCACUGAGAAGCUUGCAGACGAUGAAGAAGCCGAGACGCUCUUUGUGGCGUUUUCUGAGUUUGAAGAGCGAUGCAAGGAGCCGGAACGUGCUAGGUUUAUCUACAAGUUUGCUCUUGAUCAUAUUCCUACAGGGAGGGCUGCGGAUUUGUAUAAAAGUUUUGUGGCAUUUUAUAAACAGUAUGGUGAUAAGGAUGGGAUGCCACUUCUGGGAAGAGGAGGUUUCAGUAUGAAGAUGAAGUGAGGAAGAACCCUUUGAACUAUGAUUCUUGGUUUGAUUACGUUAAGCUUGAAGAAACUGUGGGGAACAAAGAUAGGAUAAGGGAGAUCUAUGAGAAGGUUAUUGUUAAGAUUUCACCUGCUGAAGAGAAACAAUACUGGCAAAAAUACAUUUUUCUCUGAGCGAGAUGGAGAGCAACGGAGCAAGCGCCGGAGAGCGACGGAACGAGUGGAGUUGAGCUGAUGGACCAUGUGACAUGCAGAUCAAGGACAGCCAUGGAACAAGUGACGGAGAGUGUGACGAGAGAUAGCAAAGGCAAUUCUUACAUUAUCAUAUGGGAGGUCGAUAGGCUCUCGGACAUGGUUCGAAGUUUCUGUAAAUGGAGGGAUGGAAGUCGCGGUGGAGUCUGACCUGACUGCAUAGCUUCUCAUGAGGCUGUUGUUCAAAUUCGGUGGCAUUACAGCAGACGGGAAAGCUAGAGUACAGCGAUAACGCAGAGGUUAAUGUUUUAUCUCCUUCAUUCUUCAUCUGUCUGCAUGGUCUAUUUUUACACAAUAAGAAUGUUAACAACAGUGGUGAACGAUAUGCAUCAUGUAUGUAUGACUAAUCAGCUAUGAGGCUUUCGGGUGAGUUGCAGUGAUAUGAUAUGUGACUUUAGUAGAUAUACAUUAGGAUUCUGUUAAGGGGAUGAUACUAGAUGAUGAGUAUGUACUCAUGAGAUCUGCUAAUAUCAACCAAAUAUCAUUGGCCGGUACAAAAGAUACAGAAAUAGCAAUGGGUGCAUAUCAACCCCAUCAUACAUGGACUAACAAGGGAAGACACCCACGUGGCCAGGUGUAUGGGUACAGAAUGUCACUAUGAACAGAUCAUUUAGGCAAAACAGGAGAUGAGUUCGUGGAGCCUGCUGAUCUAUAAUGCGUGAAUAACUUUCGCUGAAGGAAACUGGAAAAGUUUCAUAACUUCGGAAUUCUCGGAGCUGCAAGAUCACUUGAUUAAAUAUCCUCUACAAGUAGACAGUGAAGCUAAAGUGAGCUCACUUCCAGAUUACGACAGCUUCCCAGAUGUUGGUGGUAAGAUCAUUGGAGUUCAUUCAAUGGCUCACCCUGAUACUCUAGCCAUGUAAUGUUACAUGGUUCGUUUCGAUUCUGAAGAAAAAGAAGCUGAGAGAGUGUUGUGUGAUUUGUGUACAUUUAACUGUACAUGCUCUGUGUUUCUUAUUUUUCUCAAGUAAUAAAGAAACUGUAAUAUAAUUCCACAUGGAUGUAAUUUGAGGUUUCAGUUCAGAUUUAUUAAACCCAAAAACAAAGAUUCAAUAUCAAAUCUACAUUUUAAUUCUGUUUCUAACGAUAUU